GAUGAACGCUGGCGGCGUGCUUAACACAUGCAAGUCGAACGGAAAGGCCAGUGCUUGCACUGGUACUCGAGUGGCGAACGGGUGAGUAACACGUGGGUGAUCUGCCCUGCACUUCGGGAUAAGCCUGGGAAACUGGGUCUAAUACCGGAUAGGACAAUGGUUUGGAUGCCGUUGUGGAAAGUUUUUUCGGUGUGGGAUGAGCUCGCGGCCUAUCAGCUUGUUGGUGGGGUAAUGGCCUACCAAGGCGUCGACGGGUAGCCGGCCUGAGAGGGUGUACGGCCACAUUGGGACUGAGAUACGGCCCAGACUCCUACGGGAGGCAGCAGUGGGGAAUAUUGCACAAUGGGCGCAAGCCUGAUGCAGCGACACCGCGUGGGGGAUGACGGCCUUCGGGUUGUAAACUCCUUUCGCUAGGGACGAAGCGUAUUUGUGACGGUACCUGGAGAAGAAGCACCGGCUAACUACGUG
rnacentral:rRNA from 1 species